rnacentral:rRNA from 1 species
CGGAGGAGUAAGGGCCGGGUAAGACGGGUGCCAGCCGCCGCGGUAAUACCCGCGGCCCGAGUGGUGCUCAUUAUUAUUGAGCCUAAAACGUCCGUAGCCGGCUCGGUAAGUUCCUGGGUAAAUCGGGUCGCUCAACGAUCCGAAUUCCGGGAGGACUGCCGGGCUCGGGACCGGGAGAGGUCGGAGGUACUCCGGGGGUAGGGGUAAAAUCCUGUAAUCCUCGGAGGACCACCAGUGGCGAAGGCGUCUGACUAGAACGGAUCCGACGGUCAGGGACGAAGCCCAAGGGCGCAAACGGGAUUAGAUACCCCGGUAGUCUUGGGUGUAAACGCUGCAGGCUUGGUGUCGGGGGUCCUACGGGGGCGCCCGGUGCCGGAGCGA